UCCUGGUGGCUCAGAUGAUAAAGAAUCUGUCUGCUAUGCAGGAGACCCAGGUUCAAUCCCUGGGUCAGGAG
rnacentral:tRNA from 1 species